UUGUUGUGGGGGUUGAACAACAUCACGAGGUGUUUUAUUUAACUCUUCCAUUUUGGGUUAGCAUUUUAAAUCCCCAAAAAUUGUUUUUGAGGCGAAAAUGAUAGACUCACUUCACGUUCACAGCUAAAAAUCAAAGUAGAUAUAUUUUAAAUGGUUUUCUAAAGUAAAUUAUGAAGUAUCAGUUUCCUUCAAAUGAUAUUAUAUUUAUUUAGUAGAUAUUAAUCUUGUAAUAAUAAAAUAGUUUAUUCAUUAUGGUGAACAAGUGUGUUUACCUUGGAUGUCCAACUGGAGCCAAUAGGAAACUUACUUCAGGUGUCGGACUAAAUCGAUUUCCCAAAUCUUAAAUUGAUAAUUGUCAAAUGACAUGCUGAUAACAUAGAAGCUUAAAUCAUCCAACAUUUGUAAAUUUUUAAUAAUGAUGUCAUAUUGAUAAGAUGCUGACAACUUAUCCAUUUCGAUGAGGGCAACUACAUCCUUGUAGCGAGAUGUUAAUGAAGAAAUCAUCAAUGUUUAAACUGUUUUACAUACAUUCCCAUCAACUUUUCCAUUGCAUUUUCGCCUUGCAAACUCGAAUCUUUGACCAGUAUAAACUAUAAUAAUAAAAAAAAAAAUAUUAUCUUCAUAAAUUUACAAAAUUACUUACCUUCAUCUAUCAUCAAAUCAACAUAUCGUUUGAAGCUGGAUUAUUCUUUGUUUAAGUAUACUUUCAUUAAAAUGUAAUGAGCAAACUACAGAAUUAGACGUAGGGUAUCUAUGAGGAUUCGUGACCGGUUAUAUUAAUCCAUUUAUAAUUACGAAUGAAGGAUUUGGGAAAUCGAUGUAGUCCGACACCUGACGAAAGCUUCUUAUCGGCUCUAGUUCGACACCCAACAUAAACACACUUGUUUACCAUAAUGAUUGAAUUAUUUUAUUAUUAUAAGAUUAAUAUCUAUUAAAUAAAUAUAAUCACAUUUGAAUGAAA
rnacentral:lncRNA from 1 species